rnacentral:lncRNA from 1 species
GUCCUGAGGGGAGCUGAAGGUAGAGAUACAGCUUGUCAUUGUCAGAAAAUUUCUGUACAUCUUGCAGGAUCCCCUCUACUUUGUUCUGCACGGCCUUGGAAAUGGUACCUCGGAGCCUCUGAAGAAGGGUGGUAGGUUCCCCAGCCUCAGCACCACCUGGGGGGGCCCUUCCCCCAGUCUUGGGGCUCUUAGCAUCAGGCUCAUCUUCUGCCAUCCCGGCAUGAGGGCUUCUCCGAAAAUUAGAAAUUAUUCCAUUACUUCGCCAGGCCCAUAUAUGCCCAAAGAGAUCUUUGCCAUCUCCAUUCUAUCUGCC